UGCAUCUUUGAAAAAGUCCCCUCGUCC
rnacentral:piRNA from 1 species